rnacentral:rRNA from 1 species
AUUGAACGCUGGCGGCAGGCCUCACACAUGCAAGUCGAGCGAGCGGCGGACGGGUGAGUAAUGUAUGGGGACUGCCCGAUAGAGGGGGAUAACUACUGGAAACGGUAGCUAAUACCGCAUACUAUCGGAUAACCCAUAUGGGAUUAGCUAGUAGGUUAGGUAAUGGCUCACCUAGGCGACGAUACCUCGCUGGUCUGAGAGGAUGCUCAGGAACAUGUGGACUGAGAACCGGCCCGUACGCAGACGGAGUCAGCAGUGGGGAAGAUUGCACAAUGGGCGCAAGCCUUAUGCAGCCAUGCCGAGUGUAUGAAGAAGGCCCUAGGGUUGUAAAGUACUUUCAGUCGGGAGGCGUUACCGACAGAAGAAGCACCGGCUAACUCCGUGCCAGCCGCCGCGGUAAUUC